UACGGGGGGGGCAAGCGUUGUUCGGAAUUACUGGGCGUAAAGGGCUCGUAGGCGGCCAACUAAGUCAGACGUGAAAUCCCUCGGCUUAACCGGGGAACUGCGUCUGAUACUGGAUGGCUUGAGAUUGGGAGAGGGAUGCGGAAUUCCAGGUGUAGCGGUGAAAUGCGUAGAUAUCUGGAGGAACACCGGUGGCGAAGGCGGCAUCCUGGACCAACACUGACGCUGAGGAGCGAAAGCCAGGGGAGCAAACAGG
rnacentral:rRNA from 1 species